GAGUUUGAUCCUGGUUCAGAGCGAACGCUGGCGGCAUGCUUAACACAUGCAAGUCGCACGGUCAGCAAUGGCAGUGGCGGACGGGUGAGUAACACGUAGGAAUCUAUCUCUGGGUGGGGGACAACCGUGGGAAACUACGGCUAAUACCGCAUGAUACCUGAGGGUCAAAGGCGUAAGUCGCCUGGAGAGGAGCCUGCGUCUGAUUAGCUUGUUGGUGGGGUAAAGGCUUACCAAGGCGACGAUCAGUAGCUGGUCUGAGAGGAUGAUCAGCCACAUUGGGACUGAGACACGGCCCAAACUCCUACGGGAGGCAGCAGUGGGGAAUAUUGGACAAUGGGAGCAACCCUGAUCCAGCAAUGCCGCGUGUGUGAAGAAGGUCUUCGGAUUGUAAAGCACUUUUGGCAGGGACGAUGAUGACGGUACCUGCAGAAUAAGCCCCGGCUAACUUCGUACCAGCAGCCGCGGUAAUACGAAGGGGGCUAGCGUUGCUCGGAAUGACUGGGCGUAAAGGGCGCGUAGGCGGCACAUACAGUCAGAUGUGAAAUUCCUGGGCUCAACCUGGGGACUGCAUUUGAUACGUGUGAGCUAGAGUGGAGA
rnacentral:rRNA from 1 species